CUUUUCCCUUCUUUCUUCUUUCCUUCGGCUUUCUUCUUUCUUCUCAACCAAACUGAGAGACCGACUGACAGAGAGAGUGACGUGAGAUGGAGUGAUUCAGGGAGAUUGAGAAGGAAAGAGAGACAGUGAGACGCGGAGAUGGAGGACCCGAUCAGUGGGUCGUUGUCGGUGGGUCGGCGACGGUGGAACCAGACGACGCCGACGACGGCGACUCGAUUCCCGGUGGCCAGAAGUCGAUUUCCGGCGAGCUAAGGAGCUCCGGCGGAACCCAGGAGCCGAACCACGAAGACCCGUAACCCAUGCGACCCGUGACCCAGACCGAACAAGGAGAGACCCGGUUCUCCAUGGCGACUUUCCGACGCGAUUUCCGGCGGUUGGAGGCUGUUCUCCGGUGGUUUCCGUCGGUGGUGGACUACCCAGUGACCCCUGCGUGUGUAAGACCCGGAAGACCCACCAAAGUCAUGACCCAGUGACCCGUGAAACCCGGUUCUCUAUGGGUGUUUUCCGGUGAAUUUUUGGCGACUGCCAGUGGCGUUUUCUGGCAGAUUUGUUGAGGAAAAUCCCCAAGGCUUGUGUCGUGAUUGGAGACGUAGACUUGUUCUCCAAUGUAGAGUUCGAGUAAUUGGAAUCCAGUGGAAGUUCGAGUCAGGAGUCUAAUGCAGCCAAGAUGAUGUUUCUUUGGCUGCAGAUACUACGGUAUAGUCGAUGGGUCGGUAGCAGUGUGCUUGGGAUAUUAUGACUGAAGCUCACCGCGACGGUUGUAAUUGUCGGACCACAGGCUGUCCACUGUUUUAUAGGUUUGGUAUAGCUUGUGACGUUUGUGUCACAUAUUCUUUGUAAAACCAUAGUUGUUUUGUAAAUAUUGUGUUAAUAAGACUCAUACAGAUAGAUGUUAAAUGGCUCUAUGUGGUAAUUAAUUUGUAAUAGAUGUAUAAGUUGUAAUUUUCGCUGUUCAGAUUUAUGUUUUCCGCUGCAUAGAUAGAUAUAUGUCAUACUCUAAU